UACAGAGGGUGCAAGCGUUAUUCGGAUUUAUUGGGCGUAAAGAGCGCGUAGGUGGUUCGAUAAGUCUGGUGUGAAAGCCCUGGACUCAAUCCAGGAAGUGCAUUGGAUACUGUCGGACUAGAGUAUGGGAGAGGAGAGCGGAAUUCCAGGUGUAGAGGUGAAAUUCGUAGAUAUCUGGAGGAACAAAAGUAGCGAAGGCGGCUCUCUGGACCAUUACUGACACUGAGGCGCGAAAGCGUGGGGAGCAAACAGG
rnacentral:rRNA from 1 species